GGGUGGUUGGCAGAGCGGUUAGUGCAACCGGCUUUUAACCGGUACUAGAUAGGUUCAACUCCUAUACCACCUA
rnacentral:tRNA from 2 species